GUUUGAUCCUGGCUCAGAAUCAACGCUGGCGGCGUGCCUCAGACAUGCAAGUCGAACGAUUAAAGCUCCCUUCGGGGAGUGCAUAAAGUGGCGCACGGGUGAGUAACACGUAAGUAAUCUACCCUCGGGUGGGGAAUAGCGUCCGGAAACGGACGCUAAUACCGCAUAAUGCAGCGGCACCGCAAGGUGACAGUUGUUAAAGACUUAUUGCCUGAGGAGGAGCUUGCGGCAGAUUAGCUUGUUGGUAAGGUAACGGCUUACCAAGGCUACGGUCUAUAUCCGGUCUAAGAGGACGGUCGGACACACUGACACUGAAUAACGGGUCAGACUCCUACGGGAGGCAGCAGUCGGGAAUUUUGGGCAAUGGGGGAAACCCUGACCCAGCAACGCCGCGUGAAGGAUGAAGUAUUUCGGUAUGUAAACUUCGAAAGAAUAGGAAGAAUUAAUGACGGUACUAUUUAUAAGGUCCGGCUAACUACGUGCCAGCAGCCGCGGUAAUACGUAGGGACCAAGCGUUGUUCGGAUUUACUGGGCGUAAAGGGCGCGUAGGCGGCGCGGUAAGUCACUUGUGAAAUCUCUGAGCUUAACUCAGAACGGCCAAGUGAUACUGCAGUGCUAGAGUGUGGAAGGGGCAAUCGG
rnacentral:rRNA from 1 species